UGCCAGUGAUGAGUCUCCAUGCUAAUAACGAUACACCAGGCUGGAUCUUCGGUUCUGGGUGUAGCUGAGUUUAAACUCGCUCUUCUCACACUGCUGUGGGAUCUGAGGCAA